rnacentral:rRNA from 1 species
GAUGAACGCUGGCGGCGUGCCUAAUACAUGCAAGUCGAGCGAACAGACGAGGAGCUUGCUCCUCUGACGUUAGCGGCGGACGGGUGAGUAACACGUGGAUAACCUACCUAUAAGACUGGGAUAACUUCGGGAAACCGGAGCUAAUACCGGAUAAUAUAUUGAACCGCAUGGUUCAAUAGUGAAAGACGGUUUUGCUGUCACUUAUAGAUGGAUCCGCGCCGCAUUAGCUAGUUGGUAAGGUAACGGCUUACCAAGGCGACGAUGCGUAGCCGACCUGAGAGGGUGAUCGGCCACACUGGAACUGAGACACGGUCCAGACUCCUACGGGAGGCAGAAGUAGGGAAUCUUCCGCAAUGGGCGAAAGCCUGACGGAGCAACGCCGCGUGGGUGAUGAAGUUCUUCGGAUCGUAAAACUCUGUUAUUAGGGAAGAACAAAUGUGUAAGUAACUAUGCACGUCUUGACGGUACCUAAUCAGAAAGCCACGGCUAACUACG